GCCAGGCAUGGUGGCACACGCCUGUAAUCCCAGCAGCUCAGGUGGCUGAGGCAGGAGGAUUUCAAGUUCAAAGCCAGCCUCACCAACUUAGUGAGACCCUGUCUCUA
rnacentral:sRNA from 1 species